rnacentral:rRNA from 1 species
UUGCAGUGCGGGUGCUAUACAUGCAGUCGAGCGGACAGAAGGGAGCUUGCUCCCGGAUGUUAGCGGCGGACGGGUGAGUAACACGUGGGUAACCUGCCUGUAAGACUGGGAUAACUCCGGGAAACCGGAGCUAAUACCGGAUAGUUCCUUGAACCGCAUGGUUCAAGGAUGAAAGACGGUUUCGGCUGUCACUUACAGAUGGACCCGCGGCGCAUUAGCUAGUUGGUGGGGUAAUGGCUCACCAAGGCGACGAUGCGUAGCCGACCUGAGAGGGUGAUCGGCCACACUGGGACUGAGACACGGCCCAGACUCCUACGGGAGGCAGCAGUAGGGAAUCUUCCGCAAUGGACGAAAGUCUGACGGAGCAACGCCGCGUGAGUGAUGAAGGUUUUCGGAUCGUAAAGCUCUGUUGUUAGGGAAGAACAAGUGCGAGAGUAACUGCUCGCACCUUGACGGUACCUAACCAGAAAGCCACGGCUAACUACGUGCCAGCAGCCGCGGUAAUACGUAGGUGGCAAGCGUUGUCCGGAAUUAUUGGGCGUAAAGGGCUCGCAGGCGGUUUCUUAAGUCUGAUGUGAAAGCCCCCGGCUCAACCGGGGAGGGUCAUUGGAAACUGGGAAACUUGAGUGCAGAAGAGGAGAGUGGAAUUCCACGUGUAGCGGUGAAAUGCGUAGAGAUGUGGAGGAACACCAGUGGCGAAGGCGACUCUCUGGUCUGUAACUGACGCUGAGGAGCGAAAGCGUGGGGAGCGAACAGGAUUAGAUACCCUGGUAGUCCACGCCGUAAACGAUGAGUGCUAAGUGUUAGGGGGUUUCCGCCCCUUAGUGCUGCAGCUAACGCAUUAAGCACUCCGCCUGGGGAGUACGGUCGCAAGACUGAAACUCAAAGGAAUUGACGGGGGCCCGCACAAGCGGUGGAGCAUGUGGUUUAAUUCGAAGCAACGCGAAGAACCCUUACCAGUCUUGACAUCCUCUGACAACCCUAGAGAUAGGGCUUUCCCUUUCGGGGACAGAGUGACAGGUGGUGCAUGGAUGUCGUCAGCUCGUGUCGUGAGAUGUUGGGUUAAGUCCCGCAACGAGCGCAACC